CCACGGGGCCGAGCGGCGUCGGCGCAGCAACAAAUAGCCUCAACCCCAGCUCCGAGUGUUGUUAUGUGAGGCCCCGCCCUGCGCCCGCCCACCGAAAGCCAAAGCGCAAUCAGAAUGCGGCAGGGUAUGGCCACGCCCCUUAUCUCCGCCUCCCUGGCCUCAGGAAGACACAAACAACCGGCUAGCUGCGUCCCGGCAGAAAGAGCGCACACUGCGCAGGCGUUGCCAGCAGCGGCUUUCGGGAAGAGUCAGUCCCGCGAACAAUGAAGUUCCGUUUCAGCCCCACCCGCCCCGUCCCUCUUGUUCCUCGCUCUGGCACCUCACGGGGAAGGCCGCGGUCAGCCAGCCAGCGAGCCAGGCCUAGGCUUAAUUUGGAAUGGGGUUUGGUGGGGAGGGAAUAAGAAUCAGGAAGCAUCGAGGCAGCUGAAGCUGUCUCCGCCGCUGACCUUGGCGAAGUAUCUUAUUUCAAACCAAUUAUAAUGUUAUCGUUGGGUUUUUAUUUAAAGAUUUCAAAGUACAUCAUAGGAAUUUCAUUUCUAGCGAUGGUGAAGAGUCCACAUUUACUUUUAAUCAUGUUUUCAUUUUUGGGGUGGGCAACUCUGCUCAUUAGCCAAAGUGGUAAGAGUAACAAUUAAGGGAGUGACUAAUUGAAAGUGGCCCUUAAAUAUAUAAAAUAGUUAACUGUAAAUCCAUAAUCGGGCAUAGCAAAUGUUACUGCCUUCAUACUUGAAGGACUGAGACUUUAGGACCACAAAACGGUGCCUGAGAGAAAAGGAAGCAAAGGAGGAGGCUCGUGUCUUGAAGUGGAAGAGCUCUGCAGCGUGGAGUGGAUCCUGCCGGCUGUGUGUGAGAACUCUCACUCUCCCCGUCUCCCCGCACUGCACACAUACGCAACAAAGAAUUGUGCCCAUUAAGCACUUUUGUGCCACGAACUGUUCUUUAAGUAAAUUAUCUCAUUUGAACCUCACAGCAAACCUAGGGGACAGUUAACUAUCCCCAUUUUAGAGGGGAGGAAACAGGCUUAGAGGUAGAAAGUAUUUGUCAGGUAUCAUACGGUAAGUUAACAGCAGUUGUUGAACUCCAAGUCUGUCCAAACCAAAGUUUGAACAUCAUCCAUACGACUUGUCAAUACUAGAUUGUAGGUUUUAAGAACACAAUAAUUUUAAACUUUUAGUCUCACAGCCUCUAACCAAUUACUUUUCAGCUUUGUAGCACGUAAGUGUUUUACGAUUGAUGACAAAGUUUGACAGAGGGAAUAUCCAUAAAUGCUUCCCAAUAACUUUUUAAAGACGAUCCCGAAUUUACAACGGUUCCACUUAGGGUAUUUCGAGUUUACUGGUGUGAAAGCAAUAGGCAUUCUGUAAAACCCACAUUUUGAAUUUUGAAUUUUGGUCUUUUCCCAGACUGGCUGUAUGUAGUACAGUUCUCUGGUGAUGUUGGUCAGUGGCAGUGAGCAGCCGCUCCCGGUCAGCUGCGCCAUCAUGACAGGAAACAACCGGUAAGGAAGCCUUGCAGCCGUGGCCACCUUAGUGAUGGGUGCUGAGAUGGUGCUCACCACAAAGAGACAAGGUGCUGGAAUGGACCACCAAAAGAGAGCAAUCCAAGGUUUUAUAAAUCAGAUUGUUAGAUUUUAUGUUACUCAUUGUAUAUAGUUCCCAUUGGCCCUUAGUCUUCAGUAAAGAAAAUUUUAGUAUUCAAAGCUGAUUUCAUCUGUGCUAUAUUUUAUAAAGGAAAAGGUCACCUGUGCUUCUCUGAGCCCAAAGGGCCAAUCAUUGAGGUUGUGCAAGGUAGGCCAAGGGUAAAGUAAUCUUGGGGGGACUCUCAUGGUUCUUGAAGAUUUUUGUUCUAGCUUUAUUUUUGUUAAGUCAAUAAGUUUCUUUAAAAGGAGUUUCUGGAAAAAACAGUUGAAAAAUAAAACAGGUAAUAAAGAGCAGGGAAAAGAGAUAAAGGCCACGUGUAUGCAGUUUACAUGCAUCAGCACUGCAGAGCCCUCUGAACUCCUCUGCUCUUCUGUGUACCAUUCUCUCUCUCACAUUUUACUUUGGUCCUCCUCCCCCCUCUCUCUCUACCUUGAAUGUAGUCUUUCCCUCCUCCUGCUCUGAAUGUUUCUCUUCUCCCCCUCACUGUGAUUUUAUUUCCAUUUUCCCUACCUGUUGUUGCUUAGAUCUCAAAUGUCUAAGCUCUUAGGGACACCUAUGUGAAAAGAGGAACAUUUACUCCAAUACAAGCUUUGCUUAUAUGCUCAAAUUUAAUCUUUCAAAUCUAUGAAGUAAUAUUCCUCUAGACAUUGAACACAACCAGGAAACCAAAAUGUUUAAACUUCACGAAUAAGAAUUUCCCUGACAGUUAAGCAUUGAUCACAAACCUUAUUUUAGCAACAAACUCUGAAAAGUUUAAUUAAAAUAAGGUUUAUAUUUAAAAGAAACAAAAUAUGCAUACAAUUUCACAAUAAAGACAAAAUUUAAACUGACACUUCAAAACUAUUAUUACCAUUGGUUGAAAUUAAUGUCUUCAUUAUCCCUAUACGUACAUGUUUCAAGGGUUGUAGUAAUUUUACCACAGGUAUUUAUUUCCUAAACUUUCUUAAGGAGGACAGCAGGCCUGUGCAGGUUAUGUUUUGCAUAUGGGUGCCUAGGCAAAGGGGUGGGGGAAGCUGAAGUAUAGCUCUCAGCUCUUGAAACCAUCUCCCCAGGGUCUGGGAACACCAGGAGGAAGGGAUGUCUUUUUCUUAUUGAUAGUUACAAAGGUGUCAAAAGGAGUAGGAGCAGCCCUGGAGUGCAAUAUUAUUAUGGAUAGCUGAUUUUAUUUUAUCCUAGAUAUAAAACCCAAAGGAAAACCAUCUUAUUUAGAUUAGUUGAAGUUCCAACCAACUGAGUCUUAGUUGGGUGGUCACAGGCCUGGUUGUGCCUUCUGGCUGGCUCUCCUUUUCUACACUGAUAAAACUUUUUAACUCCUUGCCAUUCAUAGAAUGCAACCUAAUGCCUCUCUUGAAAUGGUAUAUUUUUAAAGUUUCAUUCGGCCACCUUACAGAACCCAGUUUCUUAUCAUUAUAUGUUGGUGUGGACUGUUCAGUUUUACAAACUGAUUUGUCUUAAUUUGUUAUCUUUCAUCUUUCAUGAGACAGAUGGAGUCCACAUAAUUAGCUGUCUUCAGGGCAUUUGGCAAAUCAUCAUCUUGAAACACUCUGUGGAUUCUCUUCUGCUUUGUCUUUUUGCAACCCCAGCACUGAUUAAAUAAAUGUUGGAUCUCCUUUCUCCCUGGUUGUUAUAUAUGACAAAUGAUCUGGAGCAGAUCUUUCUGUUUCUGGUAUAGUUAAUAUUUUUUUCCAAGGCUGCUUGUCUGAUUCCCAGUCCUCUCUAUUCAUCUGUCUCUGCUUUUACAAUUUAGAGAAAAGACAUGUCUGUGCUUUAGAAACUAUUAUAUGCCUUAGAUUUAAAAAAACAACCCAUACAUAUAAUUGUAUUUACUUAACUUCAAGAAACUUAACACAUCUAAAUUAUCUCAUUCACUAUCUUUUAUAGGCCAACUACCUAUUACUAAAUUGUAAACUUUUUCCUUUGGAGAAACAUUAUGGACUUUCAUUGAUUCAAAUGCUUUCAAUUAUGUAUAAUCACUUUUUUUUUUUUGCUCAUCUUCAGAAGAGCCGAGUCAAUGAAAGACCUUUUGGAUGGUCGAAUUGUCUCUCCAGCACUUCUCUCAAACAUUUUUGAAAACAUUCUUGCUUUAUAUACACAACAAAAUGUUCCAGAUUAUCUUCAUCUUUCUCUGACUUAAAACAUGGGAUGAAGUAUUUUAUAAAGAAUUUAGUUUCUUUAAAUUAAAAAAAAAAUUAGUGGCAAAACCUGGGCAUCAGGGAUAUCAGAUUGUUCCAUGUGAGUACAGAUUGGAAUUACAAUUUUUUUUUUCCAAAACUGGAAGACAUUUCUUUUUAAAGUCCUUAGUCUACAUUGAUUUUUUAAAUAAUUCAAACACCACGAAAUCAUUUAAAAAUUUAUUCCAUUGUAAAAAAAUGUUUAGUUUUCUUCCCAACAUAAUCUUAAACUUUUAAUCCCUUGCUCGGACUGCAGUUGUGCCCCCAUGUAUAAUCCUUACAUGUCUCAGCAGUAGUCAUUUCUGUAAUCACUUCAUUACCUUGAGGUCUUAGUACUUCCACUUUAUCUCUCUGGUCUUUGUCUAUUUUUAUUUUUUUAGUUUUUAUCUUUUAUCUCCCCUCUUUAUGCUUUCCCACUGUUAUUCUCAUCAUCCUUAUUUCAUCUCUCCUUGAAUAUUUAUCUCCAAGAUAAAUAUUCAAAUCUUGGAACUGAAGCAUAAUUCCUGCCUCAGGGUGUUUUGUAACUGGAGAGUUACUGUCUGUCUUGGGACAUCAAGGUCAUCCCCACUUGCAACUACUCUAGAUCAAGUCAUCAAAAACUUAAUGCCAUUUUUGUUGUGGGACAAAAUGCACUCUGUAGCAUGUUGGCACAUUUUUACUGACUUAUUCAUGUACUUUUAUUUAAGUAAUUUGUGUUCUUAGUAUUCCAGAGCAAUCUUCCACACCAAAACAAAGAAGAGAAGGGCAGAGGACAACAGAAAGAGAAGCAACUGGGAGAAACAUUUUACAAUUUAUCAAGGUUUCAGUAAAAUUACCUCUUAAAAAAAAAGCAUUGUAUACACUGUUAGGUUUUUCCAUUGCAAGAAUCCACUCAGUAAAGUAACAGGGUAUUUGCUUUAAGGAUAUACACAUACAGACAUAAGAAAGACAAGAAGAUUGCACAUCAGGCCUCAUAGGAUCCCAAGAAAACCUCCAUACCCAGAACUCAUGGGAGGAACAGGAAUUACAGAAUAGCACCUAACAGACCUGGAAUGAAGUUUGGAAACUCAAAAUUUACUCAGGAUCCAGUGCAUCCCUGCUUAGAAGUUCCAAUUCCACAGAGAGAGGAACUGAUUCGUUUAGGUGAGAUUACUGGAUGACUCAUCACCUUCAUGAUGUUGAGCCAGGAUGGUGUGGCACCUGUGUGUGAGGCGCCACUCAGGACCACUUCCGGGACUGUGGACGUGACAAGCGUUGAGAAGUUUGGCCAGCCCGGUAUACUGCAUAACCUACCUUCCAGGCACAGAACAGUCCUCUGCUUAUUUAUACCUGCAAUUCUUUGGAAUCUACAGGCAGUGAGAAAGCCUAUGGAAACUCUGGGGAUCUCUGACUGUUCUUGGAAAGCUAGGUUUCUAGCAACACCGUCCCAUCAUUCCUGGUGAAGCAAUAGUUGGCUGGAGUUGAAUAGACGCUGCCCUUUUAAAAUGAGGCCUAUGA